CUUGCUUCAACAGUGUUUGGACGG
rfam:Camelus ferus unplaced genomic scaffold scaffold163, whole genome shotgun sequence.